rnacentral:rRNA from 1 species
UACGUAGGGUGCGAGCGUUGUCCGGAAUUAUUGGGCGUAAAGAGCUCGUAGGCGGUCUGUCGCGUCGGUCGUGAAAACUUGGGGCUUAACCCUGAGCUUGCGGUCGAUGCGGGCAUGACUGGAGUUCGGCAGGGGAGACUGGAAUUCCUGGUGUAGCGGUGAAAUGCGCAGAUAUCAGGAGGAACACCGGUGGCGAAGGCGGGUCUCUGGGCCGAUACUGACGCUGAGGAGCGAAAGCGUGGGGAGCGAACAGG